rnacentral:rRNA from 1 species
UACGAAGGGGGCUAGCGUUGCUCGGAAUCACUGGGCGUAAAGGGUGCGUAGGCGGGUUUUUAAGUCAGAGGUGAAAUCCUGGAGCUCAACUCCAGAACUGCCUUUGAUACUGAAAGACUUGAGUAUGGGAGAGGUGAGUGGAACUGCGAGUGUAGAGGUGAAAUUCGUAGAUAUUCGCAAGAACACCAGUGGCGAAGGCGGCUCACUGGCCCAUUACUGACGCUGAGGCACAAAAGCGUGGGGAGCAAACAGG